rnacentral:rRNA from 1 species
AGUGAACGCUGGCGGUAGGCCUAACACAUGCAAGUCGAACGGCAGCACCGUAAGAGCUUGCUCUUACGGGUGGCGAGUGGCGGGCGGGUGAGGAAUACAUCGGAACCUACUUUUUCGUGGGGGUUAACGUCGGGAAACAUACGCUAAUACCGCAUACGACCUACGGGUGAGAGCAGGGGAUCUUCGGACCUUGCGCGAUUGAACGCGCCGAGGUCGGAUUAGCUAGUUGGCGGGGUAAAGGCCCACGAAGGCGACGAUCCGUAGCUGGCGUGAGAGGGUGAUCGGCCACACGGGAACGGAGACACGGUCCAGACUCCUACGGGAGGCAGCAGUGUGGAAUAUUGGACAAUGGGCGCAAGCCUGAUCCAGCCAUACCGCGUGUGUGAAGAAGGCGUUCGGGGUGUGAAGCCCUUUUGUUGGGAAAGAAAAGCAGCAGGUUAAGACGCCGCUGUGGUGACGGUACCCAAAGAAGAAGCACCGGCUAACUUCGUG